CACAUUGAUAUUACUUUCUUUAAGUUAAUAGAUGCUUUGUUUUAUUUAGUUACAUUAUUACAUUUAUGGUUAAUAGGAAUUUAAUUAUAUUCGACUGUACAAUUUGUCGCAAAUGUGCAGGGCAGAACAAAGAUGAUAUUAUUGGUAAGAAUGAAGGAACGGAAACUGAUAAAAAGUGGGAACGAAGGAAGAAAAAGCUGCAACAAAGGAGUCGCAGCCAAACAAGAGCAACAAUUGAUGAAAAAAGCUCCGAAAAAAAAUUCUCAGUAACACUUUUCCUCGAGUGAUAACGUGAACAUUUUUAAGUAUAGUUUUAAAUAGUGUGAGAAACAAAGAGUAGAUGCAUAAAAAUUAUAACCACCGAACGACCAAUCAACAUUUUAUACAUCCGCUCCAUUUUGCUCAAUGCAAUAUUGAUAAAACUACAUAAAUUAAAUUUGUUACCGUACCAACCAUAUUACCGUGUAAUUACCAUAUACAAUAAAUAUAUAUUUCACAA